GAUGGAAGAUGAUGCUCAGAUGGCUGGCAAUUUCUUUCAGAGUUCAGACUGUUGUUUAAGGUUAUCAGAUAGUUCCUUAGUGCACAUUCUGUUCUUGCUUUUAAAGACAUUUUUAUCCUGUAGACUAGAAUCAUAUUUUGCUUUUGGUGGAAACUAAUCUACAAAAUAGUUCUUUAAAACAGGAAAUUACUCUGUGGAAAAUUCUGCAGCUAUCUAGCCCUGAAUUGCAGAGGCCUCAGAGCAUAAUGUUCUGGAUAACUGAACUUGUAACAGGUGUUCGUGUAGAGGGAGAGGAGAAACGCAGCCAUUCAUUCCACGUGAACUAUUCUAUUCUAUUCUAUUCUAUUCUAUUCUAUUCUAUUCUAUUCUAUUCUAUUCUAUUCUAUUCUAAUGUAACUUCAAGGAGCCAAUGUAAUUUAAUGUAACUUCAAUUUUCUAAUGAGCCAAGUAAUUUGGGCUAAAUUGUUUUGGGCAAGCCAACCAAUCUCUUAAACCUGUGAAGAGCAGUCAGUGCCUCUCUUUCUCAGUAUUUAAGUAAUGUUAGCAUUCAGAUGUGGGUGGGGGAGAGAGAGAGGGGGAGACAGUUCCUCUUCAGCAUGGGGCAUGGGAGACCUGAAUCCAUAUGUAUAUCCCAGGUUGCAAAAAUGAUACUGGUUCAGUGAGAGGAGGAGUGGGGGGAGAUCUCUUUUUUUUAUUUAUGGAAUUGAUUGUAUUCUGAGCAUGUUAGCCAGUAAACACACCAGGUCCUUCUAGUAAAAAUAAAUAAAUAAA